AAGGACGGAGCCCUUCGCGCCAAGGACCCUCCGCAGUCCGUUGGGGCGGCAUCUCUCUGCCCUCAGGUCCCAAGCCCCUCCCCCUCCCUGGGAACAACCCCAAGAGUGGCUGAAGUCUUCCCGCCCACCUAAGAGGAGAAACAGGGGGUGAGGAAAGAGGGUGAGAGAAAUCUUAGUUCAGAAGGCAUGGCUUUUCCAUCAUCCUUACGAGGCUCUUUCCAAUGCUGUUUGCAAUAUGUAAAUUAAGGCGGAUUGCUUUAGAAGAGAAAGGAAGCUGAAUUCAUUCCAAAUCACCUGCUGCAUCGGCUCAGAGCUCCUUCCUGAGCAGGUGUCCUGGGAGCUGGACUUACCUAGUAAGUUCUUCGCAUCCUUUCCUUUGGCUCCCACCCUUAGAUCCACCACAGGGGACAUUCCGGCACAUGCCCCAGUCCUUCUCAUCUCUCAUCCUUCACUGGUGUCAAGUUUGUCCAAGCAGAAGACCCUUGAGGACUGUCUCCUGCAGAUAGGUCAGGUCACGGGGUCUUUGGCAGUGACUCAUUUAUGUUUUGAGUAGCAUGUUUGGAGCCCUCCAAAUGACACCAUUGCUCCACAGAACACCAGUGUCCACCUGUCCACCAGGCUGUAUAUGUGUCCGCACCUUCAUCCCUCUUGUGGCUGUUCUCUCACUAUUCACAUCCCCUUCUCUUUGCAACUUUCUGGAACUUUUUGGAGGUAUACACGUCUCCCAGGAGUAGAUCACCGACUUGGGGAGCCAGCUCCAUCCCGGUGCUAGCAGCAGGCCUGUGGCCAGUGUCUGGUUCAGCAGCUUAAGCCCAUUGCCUGCCAGGAUUCUUGCUUCAGGGAUAAACACACAACCCGCUUUUGGCCAGUGAGACCUGGAAGAGAGGUUUCCUGGCGUGGGGUCGGGGUGGGGAGGAUGGUGUAUUUUCACUCUUCUAUGGGAGCUUCCAGAGACCCUCCUCCUUGUGCUGGGAGAAAGAAGCAGCCAGUCAUCUCAGAAAUGUUGCUAGCCAUCUUCCCAUCACCAGGCAGCGAGUACCGGGAUAAAGAUGGCUCUUCCGUCAAAACCUGUAGCAUAGUGAUGACAGGGAACCCAGCUCUUGAUGACAUCAUCCAACCACUGACUCAAACCAACUCUGAAGGAGAAGAGGAAACAGUGAAUGGGAAGAGACAGAGAGCCUGGACACAGAGCCAUCUCCGUACGGAAGCACGAAAUGUUUCAGGGGCAUACAGGCCCGCGGAGACGUCUAAUGGGAAAUCUCAUUACCCAGAAGGAAAAAGCGUGCAUGCAUUGAGGACAGGCCACGUGAGAACUUGUCUGCAAGCCAGGAAGAGAGCCCUCACCAGGACCCCAACAGCCAGGCAUCCUGAUCUUGGGCCUCCAGCCUCCAGAACUGUGAGAAAGUAAAUGUCUCCUGUCUAACCCGCCCAGACUGUGGGGUUUUGUUGCAGCAUCCUGAGCAGAGUAACAUGCCAUCAUCCCCUGUGGUCUGCAAGCUUCAGCACCAGAUGAGCGCACAAGAGCCACACAGAGACAGGUUGCACAGCUCCUGUGGGGCAGGUCCUCUAACCAACCCCUUCUAAAAACGCACAGACACACAUCGCUGUAGGACGUGGAGCCCAAAUUAAAACUGAGUGCUUCGGCAUGGAGGGAGUUUGAGGACAUGAUGCUGAGUGAAAUAAGCCAGAUACAGAAAGACAAACACUGUCUGAUCCACUCACACGAGGUCCCUGGAGGGGUCAAGGUCACAGAGGCAGAAAGCAGAGUGGAGUGUGGCAGGGGCUGCGGUUGGCAAAUGGGGAGUUACUGUUUACUGGGGACUGAGUUUCAGUUGGGGAAGAUGGAAAGUUCUGGAGAUGAUGGCGGUGAUGGCUGCACAACAGUGUGAAUGUGCUUACUGCCGGUGAACUGUGCACCUAAAAAUGGUUAAGAUGGUGAAUUUUUACUUUUUUUUAAAGGUAGAAGUCAUCAUGAAAAAUGGUAAAUUUUAUGUAAUGUAUAUUUUACUACACACAAAAAAAACAAACACCAAACCAGACUGAUUAAAAAUUAAAUCUGCUCAGUACCAUGUAUGACCAAAAUUGAGUCAGCUGGAGGGAAAGGGGGGAGGUAAAGGAGGAGGCAGGCAAUUAGUACAACCACAUUGAAAAACGGUUUGGUGUUCUGCGGUGAUGUUGAAGAUGUGUAAAACUUUCACCCUGGAAUUUCACUCCCAAGGAUGUACCUAGAAUUCUUGCAAGGUGCCCAGAAACUUCUACAGGAAUGUUUACAGAAGCACUGUUUAUAUUGCAAAAUCAUGGAAACAACCUAGGUACUAACAGGAAACCCCUGUCGGUUCCUCCAAAUGGGAAAAGAAAUAAAUAUGUAUUGGUCUGUUCAUAUGAUGGAACAUUACCCAGCAAUAAGAAUGGGCAAACCACAGCUGUCCGCAGUACUGUGGAUGAAUCUCCCAAAAUGUGAGACAAAAAAAGCAAGUUGCAGGGAGACAACAUACUGGGGGCUUCUUUUAUAUAAAGUCCUAAACAUCCAACAUCGAAUAACAGUUUUGGAGGUACACUGAUACAUGGCAAACCUGUAGGAAAGAGAAGGAAAUGGAUAAACACCCAGUUCAGUACUGUGGUUUUUCCCCCAGUGGGAGUGGAUGGGGUUCAGUGGGCUGAGAUGCAAACUGGGGGGACUGGACAUAAUGCAUCAUGGCAUUGGUGACAAUCCUUCUCAGUCUGGACGGUGACUACACAGGUGUUCACUUUGUGAUUUCUUUAUACCUUUCUGCAUUAUAUAUAAUCCUGUUGUAUGUAUGGAAUAUUUCAUAAUUUUACACGUGAUGUAUGUAUCAUUAAACUAACUGGUUUUUAAAUGUG